rnacentral:rRNA from 1 species
AUUGAACGCUGGCGGCAGGCUUAACACAUGCAAGUCGAGCGGGGAGAUGGUGCUUGCACUAUCACUUAGCGGGGGACGGGUGAGUUAUGCUUUGGCAUCUGUCUAUUAGUGGGGGACCAAAUUUCGAAAAGAAUGCAUAUACCGCAUCCGUCCUACGGGAGAAAGCAGGGUAUGUUCGGACCUUGCGACUAUAGACGAGUCUAAGUGGGAAUAGCUAGUUGGGGGGGUAAAGGCCUACCAAGGCGACGAUCUGUAGAGGGUCUGAGAGGAUGAUCCGCCACACUGGGACUGAGACACGGCCCAAACUCCUACGGGAGGCAGCAGUGGGGAAUAUUGGACAAUGGGCGGAAGCCUGAUCCAGCCAUGCCGCGUGUGUGAAGAAGGCCUUAUGGUUGUAAAGCACUUUAAGCGAGGAGGAGGCUACUUUAGUUAAUACCUAGAGAUAGUGGACGUUACUCGCAGAAUAAGCACCGGCUAACUCUGUGCCAGCAGCCGCCGCCGUAA